UUUCGCAAUGCCCGAAAGGGUGACGAAGCGACGCCGCGUGAGUGAGGAAGGCCUUCGGGUUGUAAAGCUCUGUCAGGAGUUAAGAAAUAUAAGUGUGUUAAUACCACAUUUAUUUGACGAAGGCUCCAAAGGAAGCCACGGCUAACUCUGUGCCAGCAGCCGCGGUAAUACAGAGGUGGCAAGCGUUGUUCGGAAUUAUUGGGCGUAAAGAGCACGUAGGUGGGUUUGUAAGUCAGAUGUGAAAGCCUUCUGUUCAACGGAAGAAUUGCAUCUGAAACUGCGAGUCUUGAGUGUAGGAGGGGAGAAUGGAACUUCUGGUGGAGCGGUGAAAUGCGUAGAUAUCAGAAGGAACGCCGGCGGCGAAAGCGAUUCUCUGGCCUAUUACUGACACUCGGUGUGCGAAAGCUAGGGGAGCAAACGGGAUUAGAUACCCCGGUAGUCCUAGCUGUAAACGAUGGGCACUAAGUAGAGGGGUUUUA
rnacentral:rRNA from 1 species